rnacentral:rRNA from 1 species
CCUACGGGUGGCAGCAGUGGGGAAUAUUGCACAAUGGGCGAAACCCUGAUGCAGCGAAGCCGCGUGAGUGAAGAAGUAUUUAGGUAUGUAAAGCUCUAUCAGCAGGGAGAAAACUGACGGUACCUGAGGAAGAAGCCACGGCUAACUUCGGGCCAGACGCCGCGGUAAUACGUAGGGGGCAGGGGUUAUCCGGAUUUACUGGGUGUAAAGGGGGCGUAGACGGCAGCACAAGUCUGGAGUGAAAUGCCGGGGCUUAACCCCGGAACUGCUGUGGAAACUGUGCAGCUAGAGUGCAGGAGAGGUAAGUGGAAUUCCUAGUGUAGCGGUGAAAUGCGUAGAUAUUAGGAGGAACCCCAGUGGCGAAGGCGGCUUACUGGACUGUAACUGACGUUGAGGCUCGAAAGUGUGGGGAGCAAACAGGAUUAGAUACCCUUGUAGUC